rnacentral:rRNA from 1 species
CGCCAAUUAAAGCGGUACGCGAGCUGGGUUCAGACCGACGUGAGUCAGGUCGGUCCCUAUCUUCCGUGGGCGCAGCAAAUGUGACAGGAGACAACUUUAGUACGAGAGGAUUGGGUUGUAGGUACCGCUGGUGCACCUGUUGUCCUGCAUAAGGGCAGCGCAGGGUAGCUAAGUACCGAAAGGAUAAACGCUGAAAGCAUCUAAGCGUGAAGCCCCCCUGAAGAUAACAUUUGCACGCUAUUUAUAGCGAGAGACCCCUCGUAGACCACGAGGUUGAUAGGCUGGAGGUGUAAGUGCAGAGAUGCAUUGAGCUGACCAGUACUAACGGUCGA